UUGAAAGGGAAACGAUUGAAGUCAGUCGUACCAGCGGGAAUCAACCUUUCGAGUGGUGUUUUGGAGUUUUGAAGUGUGUCAAAACCUUUGAGAUUUUAAAAUUUUCGCUCUUUUGGUGUACUUUCUCGUGGGUAGGUUAACAUCGAUUUUGAUCAUCAUAAAAAGUUUGGGGGAAAUGGAGCUUCAAUCUGGUUUUGAAGUGUAAAAGCCUUGGGAAAAUGUGAUGAUUAGGAUCGAGGAUUGCAACGAAUACCCUUUUGGGCUAUCCGCCUGAUCUCUGAUACGUGGCCUUGGUAUCGAAAGCUUGCUUAUGGUAUUGAGGUAUUACGGUCAAAAGGUUAGAACGGAUUACAUUCGUUAAGGAUGUUGACGUA
rnacentral:rRNA from 1 species